CCUGCACCAUGUCUACUUUUUAAUUCUUUAAAUUUUCUCAGGCUGGUCCCACAACAGUUUAUAAGGAAAAGAAGAAGAAAGAGAAGGGAAAAAAAUCAUGUCCUAAUAAAUUAUCUACAUUUUUUUCCAUAAAUUUAAUAAGAAAGAUUCUCACUUUUCUCAAAACCUGAAAUUUUAACAAUAUUGUCAACCCCACUCAUCAAGAUUAAAUUCUGUCAACAAGUCAAACAUCAAAACAC
rnacentral:lncRNA from 1 species